ACACCGCGCAUAUCCGGGUUAAGAUAUGUACCUCCCUGUUGGACUGGUCCGGACAUGUUCCGGACCUCUUUU
rfam:Thalassobius maritimus strain DSM 28223 genome assembly, contig: Ga0070000_105